CGAACGCUGGCGGCGUGCUUAACACAUGCAAGUCGAACGGAAAGGCCCUGCUUUUGUGGGGUGCUCGAGUGGCGAACGGGUGAGUAACACGUGAGUAACCUGCCCUUGACUUUGGGAUAACUUCAGGAAACUGGGGCUAAUACCGGAUAGGAGCUCCUGCUGCAUGGUGGGGGUUGGAAAGUUUCGGCGGUUGGGGAUGGACUCGCGGCUUAUCAGCUUGUUUGUGGGGUAGUGGCUUACCAAGGCUUUGACGGGUAGCCGGCCUGAGAGGGUGACCGGCAACAUUGGGACUGAGAUACGGCCCAGAAUCCUACGGGAGGCAGCAGUGGGGAAUAUUGCACAAUGGGCGGAAGCCUGAUGCAGAAACGCCGCGUGCGGGAUGACGGCCUUCGGGUUGUAAACCGCUUUCGCCUGUGACGAAGCGUGAGUGACGGUAAUGGGUAAAGAAGCACCGGCUAACUACGUG
rnacentral:rRNA from 1 species